UAGGCUCAUUCAAUGUCUGGAGCACACGUCGGCCACUCCACCUCGGGCGCUCUGAAGCCGGCCGCAUGGAGACUGGGGGACGGUGGUAGGAUGGUCCUAGACCCCUUCUCUCCAUUUCUGCAACCUUGGUGAAUUGAAAAGGGAUCAAUAUCCUUGGUCAGCUAUACCAUACCAGAUGGCCAAGGGACAGAGGAAAAAUGGCAGGGCAAACCCCCUUGGAUUUGCCCACGUGGAGUUUGGAUAUUUACCUGACUUCUUUGUCAAGUCUUGGGCCUGAUGCAGGUAAGCAUGGUGGGGCCCUUGGAGAUCUGUCGGAGCAGUUGCAAGAGGCCACUGUAGACCAGCAAUCGCCACCGCUGCAGCAUUGGUGCCAGGCAAGAAAUCCCAUCAUGCUCUACACCAAGGCUGAGGAGGGAUAGAGCUGAACCGACUGGCAGCCCUCUGUCCUUCCAUGAGAGGAGACUCCAUGGGAGACAAUGUGGAGAAUGAAGAAAUGGAAGCAGGAUGUGUCAAGGUCUGAUGGACCUCUUUACCAUCUGGGGAAGAGGGAUGCCUCUAGUGGGAUGAGAAGCGGAACAGCAAAAGCCCAGGUCCAAAGGACACUCUGGAGGAAGUGAUUCUGCUGGAGAGACUCCAUGUGGCUCAUCCCGUACAAAAAGAAUUGUGUUGCUGCAGAUGGUGAGCUGGCUCAGUGGGGAAACGUGAUAGCCAUCAAGCCUCAUGACCUCAGUUUGAUUCCCUGGGACCCACACAGUGGGAACUGACUCCUGCAAGAUGUUCUCUGAGUUCCUCCACAUAGACAAAAAGUGAGAAAAUUCUUUAAAGAACUGCCUUCCUCUUAGCUCAGCCCAC
ensembl:processed_transcript BC006965 cDNA sequence BC006965